GAAGAUUCUGAAAGCAGACAAGUGGGCCUCAUCUAGGGGUGUGGUGGGCCCAAAGCCCCCCUGCACCAGUUUUGGCCCCUAACCAUUCCCCAAAUCCGCCCCGAGGGCCUGCGGAAUUGGCUUCAUGGCCACCAGCCUGGUCGCCCCUACGGGUUUAGGCUCGUUCUGCCCAAGCAGAGGAGAGAGGGUCAGCCUGGUGGCCCUUGGGAGGGGUCACUUGCCUGGUAGGUCACCUCUCCCCACCUCCCCAUAAAGAGCCUGUGGAGCUGUGGCCUGGACUAUUAUCGCCUGACUGAGCUGGGAGAGGGAAAUCAGUGGAGCCCAGCUAAUCCAGAAUAUUAAGAGUACCGAAGAUCAUCUACAGCAACUCAUUAAGCAGCAAAUGAUGGCAAGUGAAGUGCUAUUAAUAUUAAAUGUGCCAUUUAGCUAUAUAGGCUGAGGCAGCACAGGAGCGGUGGACUGCGUGUCAGCUAUGAACAGGAGCUGUGCAGGUGGCCCUGUGAAAAGGCCAAAUGAGAAAACUCGGGAGGUCUGGCAUUGAAGAACAUGGUCCAUGCUUGCAGAUAGAUAACAAGGCAGAAAACACAAGACAGGAAGAUGCCCAAUAUGGCACCAGGCGAGAACUGAAAAUGGAACACAGACUGAUAAACACGGGUUGCCAGAAGACAAAAGUGGGACAAUAAUUCAAUCAAUGCCAGCUUCACUUCAAGGUAGGCACAUUCUAU